CUGGAGGGAAGCAGAUGAGGCACGAGCGUUUGGUCAUGGCUGGCCCUAGAUCGCAGGCUGCAUGCGGGAAUAGAGGAGAAAGGCUGAACCUUCUAGACCAAAAGAGAAAAGUUGUAAAGUCCUCUGCUGGGACUGAGAAUGACAGAGGGGCUAUUGGGCACCCAACGAGAGGAAGAAGUAUGGAAUGGACAUUCGGGAGAUAAGGAUAAAAAGCAUACAGAUGUAUUUGAUCAUAGUUCGAUGUGACGUAGGAGCCUUCAGAAUGAAGAACCAAAAACACAGGAGAAGCCGCAAAUCUUUAUGCUUAGGUUCAACACAGGGUGGACAGCUGUGUGGAGAUAAGUUUGGACAAAAAGGAUGUGAUCUAAUGCUGAUAGGCUGAGUGGGGACUCAGCAGGGCCUGUCUGUCCGGAUUCUUCUUGGCCUCUCUGAGCAGCAUUCCUUCCUUCUGGGUAUGUGGCAGGACCCUCUCUGGAAUUACAGUCUUACCACCUACAGUCAAACAGAGUAGGUCAGAUAAUUUCUUUCUUUCAAUGUUUUAUUUUCAAUUCCGGGGGUACGUGUGCUUGUUUGUUACAUGGGAAUUGCUCGUGAAAUGAGGAGGACUGGGCCUCUAGUGAACCCAUCACCCAAAUGUUGAACACUGUACCCAACAGGAAAUUUUUCAACACUCACUCCUCUCCCACCCUCCCCCCUUUUGGAGUUCCCAGUGUCUAUUAUCUCCAUGUUCAUGUCCACGUGUAUCCAUUGUUUCACUGCCUCUUACAGGUGAGAACAUGCGAUAUUUGAUCUGCUUCUGAGUUAGUUCCCUUAGGAUAAUGGCCUCCAGCUCCAACCAUGUUGCACAAAGGCCAUGAUUUCAUUCUUUUUUAUGGAUGCAUAGUAUCCCAUGGUAUAUGCAUCACAUUUUCUUCUAGUCCAUCAUUGGUGGACACUUAGUUUGAUGACUUUGCUAUUGUGUAUAGAGUUGCAAUAAAUAUACAAAUGCAGGUGCCUUUUUUAAUAUAAUGCUUUAUUUUCCUUUGGGCAGAUAUCCAGUAGUGGGAUUUCUGGGUUGAAUGGUAGUUCUAUUUUUGGUUCUUUGAGAAAUCCCCAUACUGUUUUCCAUAGAGGUGGAACUAAUUUACAUUCCCACCAACAGUACAUAAGCAUAAAGCAUGUUUACUAUACUAAUAUAUGACUGUGCCAGAUUAACUCUUUAUAAUAGGAAUGAGAAACACAUUGAUAAAUGCCAACCCUGGUCCUCAUGGAGACAGAGAAGCUGGCAGCCAAUUCCAUAGGAUAAGUGCCUUCAGAGAUAUAAGCAAGGAGCUGUUAUGCCACAGGAGAGGGAGAAAGGAACUGCUGGGGGAACUUAAAAGGGUGACAUAAGACACAGCCUCUGAGGUGGAUUGGAAAAGAUGGCUAUAAACUUG
rnacentral:lncRNA from 10 species